GGGGAGCAGCCCAGAGUCAACAUCAAUAUUUACCGCAGGAGAAGGGUCUGGAAAGGCCGGCAACAAAGGGUGAUAGCCCCCCGUAUCUGAAACGGUAAGUGUUGUGAACUCGAAGAGUAGGGCGGGACACGUGUUAUCCUGUUUGAAUAUGGGGGACCAUCCUCCAAGGCUAAAUACUCCUGACUGACCGAUAGUGAACCAGUACCGUGAGGAAAAGGUAAAAAAACCCCGGCGAGGGGAGUAAAAUAGAACCUGAAACUCUGUACGUACAAGCAGUGGGAGCACCCGAAAGGGUGUGACUGCGUACCUUUUUUAUAUGCGUACCUUUUGUAUAAAAGGUCAGCGACUUAUAUUCUGUAGCACGGUUAACCGGAUAGAGAAGCCGUAGGGAAACCGACUCUUAACUGGGCGUUAAGUUCCAGGGUAUAGACCCGAAACCCGGUGAUCUAGCCAUGGGCAGGUUGAAGGUUGGGUAACACUAACUGGAG
rnacentral:rRNA from 1 species